CAAAUCCUACUCUUUGCUCAAAGCUCAGCUGGAGUCCUCCCUCAUCCCUGGACCCAGCCAGCGCCUAGCAUCCCUCCCUCUUUUGGACUCCAAUCACAUGGCUGUUCCACACCAGGAUUAGUGCUCUGUGGGCAGGUACCAUGUCUGAGUUAAGCUCCAUAGGGCAGGGAGUUGGUUUCAUGCUUUGUUUAUUAUUCCUAGCACCUGGAAUAGUACCUAGCACAUGACAGGCACUCCACAAACAUAGAAUCAAUGAAUAAAUCAGUGUCUCUCCUAAAAUGUCCAGGAAAGUACCCUGGCACAGAGACAGAACUCAUUAAUGAUUCUUGAACAAAUGGAUAAACUCAUGAAUCAGUGUCCUCUCAUUGGGCACUGGUCACAUUAUUGCAUUCUAUUUUUUUUCGCUUUGUAUUUGUGUGUGCUUCCUCCCUAACCUGCCUGUUAGCUUUUCAACAGCCAGGACUGAAGCAAGGAGGAUACCUGGGUUCCAUUUCUCCCUGCUAUAUGGAAUUAUUAGGCAUCAGGCUGUAUAUCUUGCACUCAGUAGGCCCUUGGUUGAUACUGGCUACACUAAAGGAAGGGCAGACCGCGUCUAGUCCAGACCUGGCCCCAUGGGCAUGUCCUAAACCAAAGCAGCAGCAGGAAGUCCAGUCCUUCCCCAGGGCAGCCUAGCAGCAGAGGAGGCUCGGGCCAGCAGAGGGAGGAGGCGCAGACAGUGAGAGAACACUUCCCCUCCAGCAGAGCAGUCCUGCAAGGGCUGCCAUGCCCACCUUGCAGAGCCGGUGUGAGGACCGAGUCCACACACAAGAACACACCUUGCCUGGUGCCUGACAUGGGGUAGGGGUCUCAGUAUAAAUAUUAGCUUCUUACUUUCCUUCCUGUUUCACUGCUCCCAGCAAGGACAAGACGGGCAUCCUGUGUUUCCUUUUCCUGUUGUGUUUCCUAGCACUGUGCCCAGCCAGCAUCCAGAGCUGCCUCUCUUACCCCGGCUCCUCGCCCCUCCCUGGAGCCGCCACCUCCUGGCUCUCUGGCAGAUCAGCCAGCGACCCUGCUUCUCUAACCCCUCAGCUUCUCGCGUUCUUACAGCCUUUCCACCCCUCAUCUUCCACUCCCUACCAUGGACUCCCCCGGGUUUGACUCUUACCUGCGCCAGUGGGGCUGCAGUAGUGGGCACCCGGGCUCACCUGGGUCCCAUCUGUAGAGAGAGAGACGGAGUGAAAGAGCUGCAGGGAGGGGUGAGGAGAGGGAGCAGGAAGGAAAGAAGGUCAAGCCAGGCCUGCUCCCUGCCACUCCAAGCUUGAGCACGCCAAAGCCUGGGACCUCCACCAGAAGCUAAUCAAAACGAGAAGACCCCACCCCAUUCGACUCCUCCAGUCCCCCUGCUGGUGAAAAGGGCUCCCAGCUCCCUCUUCCUCAAGUCACUCAUUCUAAAUGACUUGAACUCAGACUACAGCAAGAACCUAAGGAGGCCUCAGCUCACCCAGCAGUGCCCUCAGCCCUCCCUCCUGUGGUCAGAUACAAUCUUCCCUGGGCAGCCAAACCAGGCUCCCAUCGCCCGAGGGAAAGAAGAAGGCCAAGAGAGACGAAGUCUUCCCCUGUUGCCCAGGCUGGGCUCCUGGGCUCAAGCGAUCCUCCCCGCUCAUCUUCAAAGUCUUUGUUGAGGCUGUUCCCACCUCCCUGGACUCUUGAUUAGCGGAAAAGGAAGCAGCAGCAAGAAGACCUAGGCCCCAGCAGCAAGAGGAAAGCAGGCAGUGGCAGAAGGCCAUAGUCCUGGGUUCAGAGCUGACUCCCUUCACACCCGAGGUUGCUGUCUCUGGUUCUCCUUCCCUGACAUAGGCUGGAAAAAGCUUGAGUCUCCAUGGGGCUGGCAGAGAAGAUGAAGGCUGGUGGUGAAAUGGCUUCAGGAAGAUCCAAGAACAAAUAAACAGGAGAAAGAACA